rnacentral:rRNA from 1 species
UACGUAGGGUGCGAGCGUUGUCCGGAAUUAUUGGGCGUAAAGAGCUCGUAGGCGGUUUGUCGCGUCGACUGUGAAAACCUGGGGCUUAACUCUGGGCCUGCAGUCGAUACGGGCAGGCUAGAGUUCGGUAGGGGAGACUGGAAUUCCUGGUGUAGCGGUGAAAUGCGCAGAUAUCAGGAGGAACACCGAUGGCGAAGGCGGGUCUCUGGGCAGUAACUGACGCUGAGGAGCGAAAGCGUGGGGAGCGAACAGG